GUGGUUAUUUGUGUGUCUCAUCCAAUUCUUUGUUCAUAACACCAAGAACCUGGAACUCCCAACUUCCAAUCUGGUAACAUAUUUUGGUGAGCCAGCCAGGAGGGUCAAGCCUGCAAUACCUAAAGCUCCAGACCUGGAACCUAAAGCUCCCAUCAGUCGCUACCCUGUGAACCUGUGGAGGAUCUGAAGUACCUGUUUAAAAGGCAUCCAAAAGAUAGAAUCUAUCAAGCUACAAAUGGCUAUAUUGCCUGAAGCCCCAGACAUCAUCCUACAAGAAAUAAGUCCAGACUUCUUAAUUUCCCCCUGGAUAGAGCAGGGUAAGAGUUCUGUGGUCCCCUGUUAGGUGGGGCCAACAGUCCCACUCAGCUGGAAGCAAGUGUAGAAGAAAGAACUUCAACCCUCAGCAACCUAUUAUGAUUUAUGGGGAUCACAUCUCUCAGAGGGAAUUGAGGCAGGAGAAUAGGGAAAGAAGUCAGAAAAUCAACCCGCAGCCUUUUCUCACCAAAACAAGCAUAAGGCACCAUCUGAUAAGGAAGCUGAAGCAAUGAACCAAUGCUUUCUGCAGUAAACAAAUCUGGUAUAACCUUUUAUUAUAAUAAGUUACUUAAAGCCCAUACAUAUGGAAUGCAUAUCAUACAUACACUUAAAAUUAUGGAAUGGCAAGCACACGCAGGCACACUGAGAGAGAAAACCAACAAGAAAACUGAUAUGUCAAUUAUAGGCAACCUCCUCCCUAAAAGUUAAGUAAGAGUAGUAAGGUGGUAUAAAAGAACAAAGGCU